GGGGUUGUGGCUCAGCGGCAGAGCACUUGCCUAGCUUGUGCAAGGUGCUGUGUUCAAUCCUCAGCACCACA
rnacentral:tRNA from 1 species